rnacentral:rRNA from 1 species
UACGUAGGGUGCAAGCGUUGUCCGGAAUUAUUGGGCGUAAAGCGCACGUAGGCGGUUCGUUAAGUCGGAUGUGAAAGCCCUCGGCUCAACUGAGGAAGUGCACCCCGUAAACUGGCGAGCUUGAGUUACGAAAGAGGAUCGCGGAAUUCCCGGGUGUAGAGGUGAAAUUCGUAGAGUAAUCAGGAAUGAACACCCGUGGCGAAAGGCGGCUCUCGUGGAACGCAACUGACGCUGAGACGCGAA